GUCCUUAGUACUGAGCAUGCCCAGUAGAGAUGCCCCGCCCCGAGCAUGGAAGGGGCGGGUGGGAGGGCGCGGUCGAUCUCAGCCCCGCCCUAAAGGGGCGGUGCCAAGAGCUGUAGAAGACCUGAAGCGUGGGGUGGAGUCCCCUUGCACCACCCACUGAGGAUUGGGAUUAAAACGCAGCUGGAAGCGGCCGUUUUGUCCUGCCAACAGUUUAUUGAUGUUAAUAGGACCAGGAAAAGGAAGAGACAAAGAAUGCAUUCUCUCUUCUAGAGUCUUCAAAGGGAGAAUAGUCCUGCCAACUCCUUCAUUUCACACUUUUGGUCUCCAAAACUAUCCAACCAACUCUGUGAAUGGCAGGGAACUGAAUGUAUGGAUUCCUGAAAAAUAAAGGGACACAAAAGUAAGACACAGCCUGACAUGAAGAGUCAUGACAACCACAGAUAGGUGAGUGCAUAGGUGUAAAAGGUAGUUAAAAAACAAAAUGUAUGGAAUUGUUGGAUCAUUAUAUUGUAUACCUGAAACUAGUAACACUGUAUGUUAACUAUACUGGAAAUAAAGUGAAAGAAAAAACAAAAAACAAAAGCAAAAACAAAACAAAAAAACCCCAGGGAAUUCAAACAGUCACAUCUAAUUGGGAGAAUCAGGAAAGCAUUCGUGGACAAGGGGUGCCCCCUUUAAUGUGAGCUAGGUUCUACAGGAUGAGAAAGAUUAUUGUUUCAAAUUAUACUUAUUUGCUUUUUGUAAAAGUCAUCCCCCCACUCUGAGUUCCUUGUGUUUAUUUUUCUUCCAGAAUAAAUUUAUGUGCGGACCAACAAAACUGAGUAUAAAUACUUAACACGCUUAUUUCAAUACAUCUUAAAAGUGAAGCUUAACAUACACAGAACAGUACACAAAUUACACGUACAACUGGAUGCAUUUUCCCACAGUGCACACCAAUGUAAUCUCUACUCAGAUGAGAAACAGAACAUUACCAAGCAUGACAGAAGUCCCCUUUGUGCUACCUCUCACCGUUAAUCCUCACCCACAGGUAUACACUAUCCUGACUUCCUUUUUUAAAAAAAUUUUUUAUUUGAGUUAGAGAGAGAGCACGCACGAGUGCACGAGUGCACACACACAGCGGGCAGGGGCAGAGGGAGAAGGAGAGAGAAACAAUCACAAGCAGAUUUCCUGAGUGUGGACCCCGAC